GUGACGUAAGUGGGACAGCUCCCCCCACACGCUUCAGAAAAUACAGAAAUGCGUGCUGCAAUGAGGCGCUCUGUUUGGAGGCGCUGCCUCAUCCCAGUAGCCAAAAGGCAGUCAAACCACAUUGGACACUUACCAAAGGAGGUCACAGGAACAAACAAAAGAAUUUUUAAAAAUUAAUGCCAGCCAGAAGGUUUUUUUGGGGGGCAACGUGGACAUCAAUAACCAAAUAACAGCAAAACAAAAGCACAACAUCCUAUAACAUGAAAUGCUUAAAAGGGGGAGAAGAAUGGCUUGUACUUCCAGAAACAGUUUUCCUGGUGACAUGAGUGGAAGGAAGACCUCAAACUGAUCCCAUUUGUAAUUGCUCCUCUCUGCCUUAACGAUAAACUUCGGUUCUACGUGCCUAGGAAAUACCCAGAAUGACUUGACGGCUCUUACAGUUACUUCAAUCCUCCACAAUAAUCUUCAGAUUCCUUUGGUAGAAGAAGUGAAUGGUAACUGGAGAAUGGAGACCUGAUCUCAGAAAUCAUCAGCUGCAGAAGUGACGGAAUCACAUCAGACAAUCAUCCUAUAACCAAAACCAAACCAGACCCAAGUCCUUACUAAGUGCCUUGAACACACAGGAGGCCAAGCAGUGAACAGAAGCUGAGCAAUGGUUUUGACAAGACUAACACUGAAAGGAUACAUACGGAGUAGCUGCCCUCAUUUCUAAGACCCUGUGAAAAGUCUGAGAGUGUGCAGUAAAGGGCCAUGCAAAUCACUUGAAGAUUGAAGAAAAAUCUCUAGAGCCUUAAAGAUCUCAUUCUGUUUAGCUUAUGAAAUUUGUGAAGCAGCAUGAUUUUGCUAUGAAAGCGUCAGAGAGGGAAAAUGCCACAUACUAAAGAGCUCUUGAAUCCAAUGGAGAACUGCUUUAUGAAAAACAAAAGAUGGGAACUGAAGCCAGACAAACCCAGAUUUGGAAAACAAACAACCAAAAAAUUUGAGUGGAAUUAAGGACAACUCUCAAGGCAAGUGAUAGAUUCCCUUAUCCGCAUGUUUUCAAAUUAAGACCAGAGGACUUUCUGAAAAACAAAUGGAAUAUGUGCUCAGAAACAAUCAGUGGGCUUAUUAAAGAAUAAAUGCUUGAAAUUUUG
rnacentral:lncRNA from 1 species